UACGAUCGAAGUAGCAUCCAACGGUGGCUGGACAGUGGUAACAACACGUGUCCAGCCACCAUGCAGGUGCUACAGACAAAAGAACUUGUACCUAACCAUACACUACAAAGGCUAAUUCAGAUCUGGUCUGACUCGGUCCGAACUACUCAUCAGAACAGUAGUUCGGACCGAGUUAACCACCAACAAGUUCGCGAGCUAAUUAAACAGUUCGUUAACGACUUCCGAGUUCACUAUUCCGAGUUGGAGGUGAACUCGGAUAAUUUAACAAAACUGUUAGCUUUCUCCGGAGAAU
rnacentral:lncRNA from 1 species